rnacentral:rRNA from 1 species
UACGGAGGAUGCGAGCGUUAUCCGGAUUUAUUGGGUUUAAAGGGAGCGCAGACGGGAGAUUAAGUCAGUUGUGAAAGUUUGCGGCUCAACCGUAAAAUUGCAGUUGAUACUGGUUUCCUUGAGUGCAGUUGAGGCAGGCGGAAUUCGUGGUGUAGCGGUGAAAUGCUUAGAUAUCACGAAGAACCCCGAUUGCGAAGGCAGCUUGCUAAACUGUAACUGACGUUCAUGCUCGAAUGUGUGGGUAUCAAACAGG